UACAGAGGGCUCAAGCGUUGUUCGGAUUCAUUGGGCGUAAAGCGCGUGUAGGCGGCUCGGUAAGUCUGCUGUGAAAGUCCAGGGCUCAACCCUGGAAUGCCGGUGGAUACUGUCGAGCUCGAGUCCGGAAGAGGCGAGUGGAAUUCCCGGUGUAGCGGUGAAAUGCGCAGAUAUCGGGAGGAACACCAAUGGCGAAGGCAGCUCGCUGGGACGUUACUGACGCUGAGACGCGAAAGCGUGGGGAGCAAACAGG
rnacentral:rRNA from 1 species